CUACGGGGCGCAGCAGUGAGGAAUAUUGCACAAUGGGGGGAACCCUGAUGCAGCAACGCCGCGUGGAGGAUGACGCAUUUCGGUGUGUAAACUCCUUUUAUAUGUCAAGAAAAUGACGGUAGCAUAUGAAUAAGCACCGGCUAACUCCGUGCCCGCAGCCGCGGUAAUACGGAGGGUGCAAGCGUUACUCGGAAUCACUGGGCGUAAAGGACGCGUAGGCGGGUUGGAAAGUCAGGUGUGAAAUCCUACAGCUUAACUGUAGAACUGCACUUGAAACUUCUAAUCUAGAGUAUGGGAAGGGGAGAUGGAAUUAGUGGUGUAGGGGUAAAAUCCGUAGAUAUCACUAGGAAUACCUAAAGCGAAGGCGAUCUCCUGGAACAUUACUGACGCUAAGGCGUGAAAGCGUGGGGAGCAAACAGGAUUAGAUACCCCUGUAGUC
rnacentral:rRNA from 1 species